UCGAUGUUCGUCAACCGAGACGACGCAAGAUUUAUUUUGGUUUAGAAAUUUGUCAAAGAUCUUAAAAGGUGAAAGUGUACAGUCGUGCUUUUUUGUGACUUAAUUGCGUCGAAAUUUUUAAGUACUUGCUUAUCGGAGAUCAAGAUUUGAAAAAAUGACCCUCACACUUUGGGUCUUUAAACUGUGAUACUUCCAGAAAAUUCUCCUCAUGACUUUAUGUGGAAACCAGC